GUGUUGACUGCUAAUUAAAGAACUACGUUAUCCUAUACAACAACUGCUUGCAAAAAUAUGUGGGUAAGGAGUAGUCUGAAUUGAGUUAUGGAAUAUCACAUUCUACCUCGCUUAUUGCACUAACUAUGCUGGCCGUGGUGCUUUCCCAAAUUUGACAAGCAAUAUUGCAUACACCUCACUAGUGCAAGGCGAUCAUGUGCAACUACGUGUCAAUGUUUGUCUUGUACACCUUAGCUUCCAGUUAGGAAGUUGCCCUUUAGAGCAACAACGACCUCCGUCUCAGACCUUCCCAAGGGCAAUAUCAGGAAGCGUGAGCUUCACGUACGUAACCCUUAAAGCGAGCAUCUCACCCACACACUUAAGCAUCAAUUCAUGUUACGUACCUGUUUUGGUUUUCACCCAACGGCAUUAAUGUGGAAAAGAAGAAGUGCUGAUGGUGUGGAAUGAAAAGAAUGGAGUUUGGAGUGCGGAGUGCGAUUGCGCCAUUACAAUCUCUAGCACUCGGCAUAGUAGAAACUGCAGGGUUCGUUGUUAAAUUAAAACGUUUUCUCAAUUGUUAUUGAACACUACAUACUAAGUUCAGUACACUGUUUUCCAACCAAACUUUAUUAAAUUGAAUGAUUGAAAACAA